GGGCUCCAUUAGCGACCUUAAGCAAUUUCACACAUUCGUUGAUUCAUGAAAUAUCGUUUUAUCAUUUAUUGAAUUUUAAUACCUUGAUAGGAAAUAGGUCCUUACUCGUUUCGGGGUCCGAACACGGCUUCACAGUGCGCUUGCAAGUUGUCCCUAAUUUUCCCUGAAUUUUUUCCGGGGAACUGAAACGCACUACUGGUACCUGCACGUGUUCCAAAAAAUCCCAAAUUAGGCCCAGGGCCCCUUUCGGCCAAUAUCGCAACUCCGGCACGGUGGCUCCGCUGUGCUCCAGCGACGGCGCCACCGCAAGCGGCGGCGGUUCACCUCGGGUUGGUCGUUUCCGGCCGAAUUCGGCCACACUCGCAUUGGUUCCUGCGAUAAAACAACCCUACGGCCCUCGGGGGGCCGAAAAUUUACGGAAAAUCGAAGCUUACGGGCGGUGGUGCUCUCGGGUGCGGCGGCUCUCCGGUGAAGUUCGUGUUUUGGUAAUUCGGCUCCGAUCAACCUAUAGAGAAAAGAAUGGUGAUCACGGUGAUAUAAAAAUUGCAUUAAACGGAGGCCGGGAAGGGCCUCAUCGGAGGCAAAAACUGAGAAGGGACGCGGCGGUGCCGCUGGCUUUCAGUCGCGUUUUCCGGCUAUUUGGCCAGAAUUUUGGCUCUGAUUUGGCCACUGGGGAAAUCAGCGUGGAAAAACGAGUCGGGGGUAUGAAAUUUACCUCGAUCGACGGUCGAAAAUCCCUCCGGUGCGGCGGCGGUCGGCUUCUGGUUCGUCUUCUCCGGCGAGGGCAGGCGGCUAGGGUUUGGGGUCUGGUGUGGGGGUCUUAUUUAUACCCUUUUGCCUUUUGAUCUCAGCCGUCCAUUUUGAUUUAAUCUGGGCCGUCCGUUUUUGAUUAAAUCUGGGCCGUUCGUGCGCGCGAUUGAUCUGGACCGUCCGAUCGCGCGCACACGAAUCGCCAACGUGGUCCGUCCCCGGUCGACGUGGUUUUACCACGUGGCAGGUCCUGGUUGGCCAGGACUGCUGACUGGGUCUGCUGACGUGGCUGCUGACGUGGCACGCACGUUUUU
rnacentral:lncRNA from 1 species